rnacentral:rRNA from 1 species
UACGAAGGGGGCUAGCGUUGUUCAGAAUUACUGGGCGUAAAGGGCGCGUAGGCGGCCUAUCAAGUCAGAUGUGAAAGCCCUGGGCUUAACCUAGGAGGUGCAUUUGAUACUGAUGGGCUUGAGAUCGAGAGAGGAGAGUGGAAUUGCGAGUGUAGAGGUGAAAUUCGUAGAUAUUCGCAAGAACACCAGUGGCGAAGGCGACUCUCUGGCUCGAUACUGACGCUAAGGCGCGAAAGCGUGGGGAGCAAACAGG